rfam:Cajanus cajan Scaffold000066_16, whole genome shotgun sequence.
GGCCUAUUAGCUCAGUUGGUUAGAGCUUGGUGCUAAUAACGCCAAGGUCGCAGGUUCGAG